UACGUAGGGGGCUAGCGUUGUCCGGAAUCAUUGGGCGUAAAGCGCGCGUAGGCGGCCCAGUAAGUCCGUUGUAAAAGUCAAAGGCUCAACCUUUGAAAGCCGAUGGAUACUGCUGGGCUAGAGUCCGGAAGAGGCGAGUGGAAUUCCUGGUGUAGCGGUGGAAUGCGCAGAUAUCAGGAGGAACACCAGUGGCGAAGGCGCCGCUCUGGGCCGUGACUGACGCUGAGGAGCGAAAGCUAGGGGAGCGAACAGG
rnacentral:rRNA from 1 species